AAUUUGUGUUUCAUAAAACAGGUAAAGCCAUCAUUACAGCAGCUGCAGUAGGAGGUACCGUGGUUCUGACUCCUGCUGUUCUGGCGGGAAUGGGCUUCGGUGCAACUGGAAUAGUAGCAGGCUCCAUAGCUGCUAAGUUGAUGUCAAUUUUUGGAGCUACCUGGUUGAUAUCUCUCUUGCAAUCUAUAGGUGCCGCUGGAAUGGGAUGGCUUGGAAAUUCACUAUGGAGCGUGUUUGGAGGUUUUAUAGCAAAUCAGAUAUCAUCUCUCUGCAAUAUAACUGUUGUGUAUAAUGGCACCUAAACAUAGCAUUGAUAAGAAACUGAUGACCAUUGGUCUAUAAAAUCUGCAAAUGCUGUUUUGGCUUUUUUAAUAGAUCUUUUCUUAUCUUCCUUAGCUAACCACUAUGAGUAGAUUAUGCCUUAAGACUAUAUGAAGAUUUUAUUUCAAAGUAAUUUGUAUUAUAUUAAACAUUUGUUAUUUUGUGCAACUACACAUUUGGAUGUUUCUUUUAAACUUCAGUAAAAUAUAUUGUACUGAUGAGCCUUCAGGGUUUUUAUUAAGACAAGAAAGAUGCUUUUACCAGGGUGUCCUAACAAUGAUGCAAAGUGGUCAAAUGUGACAUGAAAUCUACGGUUUGUCUUUUAGUUACCCUAAUAAACAGACUCUUCUUCUUCCUGUGGAUCAAUUUAAAGAAAUCUGUAACUGUUCUGACCAUCUUAAAGGAAUAAAUAUUUGAUCUGGGUGAAUAAAGUAAUUUAAUCAU